GACGAAGGAUGCAAGCGUUAUCCGGAUUCAUUGGGUUUAAAGGGAGCGUAGGUGGCCUCAUAAGUCAGUGGUGAAAUCUCUGGGCUUAACACAGAAAUUGCCAUUGAUACUGUAGGGCUUGAGUAUAGUUGCCGUUGGCGGAAUAUGACAUGUAGUGGUGAAAUACAUAGAGAUGUCAUAGAACACCGAUUGCGAAGGCAGCUGACGGAACUAUAACUGACACUGAGGCUCGAAAGUGCGGGGAUCAAACAGG
rnacentral:rRNA from 1 species